AAGUCGUAACAAGGUAACCGUAGGUGAACCUGCGGUUGGAUCAUUACUGAUAUCUUGUUGAUAGAGUUGAUACCGAAAGGAGUCCUCUAUCAGCAUAAACCCCUUGUGCACCAUAAUGUUUUUUGGGUUGUCGGUGCUGGUCUUUAUGGCAAGCUUGGCAGCCCAAACAAUUUAACAAACGCUAAGAAUUCAGUCUGAUUUUAUCUAGUAAUAGAAACAACUUUUGACAACGGAUCUCUUGGCUCUC
rnacentral:misc_RNA from 1 species